rnacentral:rRNA from 1 species
AUUGAACGCUGGCGGCAGGCCUGACACAUGCAAGUCGAGCGGAUGAAGGGAGCUUGCUCCUGGAUUCAGCGGCGGACGGGUGAGUAAUGCCUAGGAAUCUGCCUGGUAGUGGGGGAUAACGUCCGGAAACGGGCGCUAAUACCGCAUACGUCCUGAGGGAGAAAGUGGGGGAUCUUCGGACCUCACGCUAUCAGAUGAGCCUAGGUCGGAUUAGCUAGUUGGUGGGGUAAAGGCCUACCAAGGCGACGAUCCGUAACUGGUCUGAGAGGAUGAUCAGUCACACUGGAACUGAGACACGGUCCAGACUCCUACGGGAGGCAGCAGUGGGGAAUAUUGGACAAUGGGCGAAAGCCUGAUCCAGCCAUGCCGCGUGUGUGAAGAAGGUCUUCGGAUUGUAAGGCACUUUAAGUUGGGAGGAAGGGCAGUAAGUUAAUACCUUGCUGUUUUGACGUUACCAACAGAAUAAGCACCGGCUAACUUCGUG